rnacentral:lncRNA from 1 species
UGCCGCCGGUCUGUAAACUACUUUAGCAAAUCUGUUUGCUGACUUUUUCUAGGAUUUUGGGUUAAUAGCGGUAAGGCUGCUGCAGGCUCCGAACCGCCAGUUCCUUCGGCGGUCCCUGCCCUUUGCCGGAGGCUCUGUCAAGAGCUUCGUAGCACCCGUUCGGUGCUAGAACAGACUUCCAGAAAAAUUGACAGUUCGCUUUACUUGGGUACGCGGUCUGCCUGAUCUGGGUCAGGAUAGUUGGAAAUGGAGCAGUCUAGGCGAAGUCGUUGGGGAUUGCCCUCCGCUAUCAAUAUGACCAAUGGAACUGUCCCGCCGCCGCCUAUUGCCCGGAAUAACAGUAACCAAUUAAUA